rnacentral:rRNA from 1 species
AUUGAACGCUGGCGGCAUGCUUUACACAUGCAAGUCGAACGGCAGCACGGACUUCGGUCUGGUGGCGAGUGGCGAACGGGUGAGUAAUACAUCGGAACGUACCCAGUAAUGGGGGAUAACUAUCCGAAAGGAUAGCUAAUACCGCAUACGCCCUACGGGGGAAAGAGGGGGAUCGCAAGACCUCUUGUUAUUGGAGCGGCCGAUGGCUGAUUAGCUAGUUGGUGGGGUAAAGGCCUACCAAGGCAACGAUCAGUAGCGGGUCUUAGAGGACGAUCCGCCACACUGGAACUGAGACACGGUCCAGACUCCUACGGGAGGCAGCAGUGGGGAAUCUUGGACAAUGGGCGCAAGCCUGAUCCAGCAAUGCCGCGUGCGUGAAGAAGGCCUUCGGGUUGUAAAGCGCUUUUGUCAGGGAGCAAAUCCUUGUGGCUAAUACCCACCGGGGAUGAGAGUACCUGAAGAAUAAGGACCGGCUAACUACGUGCCAGCAGCCGCGGUAACAC